GUGUUCCUGUGCAGUGAAAAGCAGCUUAAGCAUCAGCACUCAGGGAGGAUGCACGCACACAGUCCAUAACUUAUGGCCCACCAAAAUGCAACAGCAAGCAAGGCUGCAGGCACCAGCUUCUGGCAGACGCACCUGAAAGGAAGCCGACAAAUCUGCGGGAGGAAAGGGGAGGCCAUUAGAAAUGACAAGAAGCGAAAAGCUGGUGCAGAAAAGUGAGGAUGACCGCCUGCAGGCAAGCUAAGAGCAGCGAACCCCAGCAAGAGCUGUUGGACCCUGAGGAAUCGGGAUCCAGUGCAGAAUUACUCCAGUGAUCUCCAUGAUGCAGUCUAGUUCUCCAGCUAAUGUCUGAUGCUAGAGUAGAAUUGGCCAAAGCACAAUGGCUGUUCAAGAUCUUGGGGCACACAGGUCCCUGAGCUAUGACUGCUGUCAAACACAAAAGCUAAGGAAUUUUGGUGGGUCCCCAAACUGUUUAUACUAUACUGAUGAAAAUCUCCAAUGAAAUCUAGUUUCCUUUAGAUGUGCAUGCUUUUUUUUUUUGUAUAAAAAUAAUUA